GGCCCAAUGGAUAAGGCGUCGGUUUCCGGAGCCGAAGGGUGUGGGUUCGAGUUCCCUC
rnacentral:tRNA from 1 species